ACCCUCCAGUUUCCUUUCCUGUGGCUGAACGCUGGUCUUGUAGUUGUAAAAAGAGAAAUAGCAAUACUGAGUCUGGCCUCCAGGUCUCAUAGCAUCUGCCAUGUAGCACACGGGCUAGUUUCAAACAAGA